GGCGUGGCCCUGGCCGCCGCGCGCUCUGCAGCGCACCUAACAUCUCUUGCGUGCCUAUGGCGCAUAUAGGGGAGACCCGACAUGACAGCCAUGGAGUCCCUUUUUUUUUCUGAAUGCGAGAGCUUGUUAAGGUUUAUAUUCCAAAUUUAUACUAAAUUCUCGAUAUAAAUUUCUUGAUCGAUCGGUUGCCCUGAUCAGAACAUAUGUCUAGGACUGUUUAUUCCCCUUUCUUAAUUUUGAGGAAUAUUUUGCUUCAAUUUGACUAUUCCAAGGAAUACGUGGCUGGUGCUACGUACUUCUGUCCAUAUCACGAUCAGUCUUUUGGACAAUAAGGUAUGAGUAUUAACUCCGUGACAUUUAUCAUUGCUAGUUGCUACCAAAGCAUAUGGUACACAUGGGCUGGGAAACUAGUCUCUAUCUUGUGGGAAAUUAAACAUUUGGGUUGAGACCGUGUAAGAUGGAACCCCCGUGUCCACCUGCUCUUUGUGUGAAUGCUAAUGACAAAAUAUGUAUAUUUAGCAUUUUAGUCUUUAUGUUGAA